UACGGAGGGUGCAAGCGUUAAUCGGAAUUACUGGGCGUAAAGCGUGCGCAGGCGGUUUGUUAAGUCCGUUGUGAAAGCCCCGAGCUCAACUUGGGAAUUGCAGUGGAUACUGGCAGGCUGGAGUACGGUAGAGGAAGGUGGAAUUCCCGGUGUAGCAGUGAAAUGCGUAGAUAUGAUAUAGAACACCAAUUGCGAAGGCAGGUUACUGAGCCAUUACUGACGCUGAGGCACGAAAGCGUGGGGAUCAAACAGG
rnacentral:rRNA from 1 species